UACUGAGAAACUAAAACCAUCGUUAAAAGUGAAGACACGUUGAGACAGGUAUCUCGACCUGCCAAGUAUAAAGCUAAAGCUGAGUUCAUAAAAAGGGAUGAUUUGGCCGACGGUCAUCUGCCAGAUUCUGAUGAUGAUUCAGAAGUCAGUGUGGAAGAAGAUCAGAGGGAGAGGCAGGCGCUCUUUGACUUAUCAAGCUGCUCCCUGAGGCCCAAAAGCUUCAAGUGUCAGACUUGUAAAAAGUCAUAUAUAGGGAAGUGGGGACUGGCCCAGCAUUUUAAACUUAAUCCAGGCCAUGGCCAGCUGGACCCUGAGAUGGUGCUAUCUGAGAAAGCCAAUGGGAGCACCCUCCGGGGGUGCACAGAGGAAAGGACGCUCAGCCUGACCUUCCCGGGGCUGUCCGUGCCAGCGGCUCCGCGUGAGGGAGGGGCCCGCUCCUGCUUGGUGAGAGAGUCAGCACGCGGUGGCCUGCAGUCUCACUCUGUGGCCCAGGCUGGAGUACAGUGGCGCAGUCUGAGUUCACUACAGCCUCCACCUCCCAGGUUCAAGAGAUUCUCCUGCCUCAACCUCCCGAGUAGCUGGGACUACAGUCACGUACCACCAGUUGAAAAAGAUCAUCUAGCAAAGCCUUUUUUCCCAGCUACAUAUAAGGAAUUUGAAAGUCACAUAAAAUGGUUAAGAAAAUGUGCCAAGAUUACCUCAGUAAUUCUGGUCUGUGUUCUCAGGAGACCCUGGAAAUAAACAAUGGGUUAUAGAGUGGAAAGUCCCACAAUCUUUUUCUUCUCUAUUUUCAGAAAAACGUUGACCUCUUGGCGAGAAUGCAAAGAAGGGAACGCUUGCUUAUACGCUGUUGGUGAACUGUCACCCCUACAACUCAGCUUGCAACCAGCCCUGGCCACCAGUUU
rnacentral:lncRNA from 1 species